CAAAUAUUAACUGAGCAUACAAAAAAAAUCAGCAGAGUUCUGAGAGAGAGAACGAGAAGAGUGUGAACCCUAAAAUCUCGAUUCCAACCACUGCCAUUCAUCUCCUCACCGCCGUUGCCGCCAUAUCUCCUCCAUCAAAGCGUCGCCGGUGGAGUUAUGAAUGGAGGACGAGGUGAUCGUGGAGCUCUCGCCUCUCGGGAUAGUAAUGCUUUAGAUCUUCCGCUUUGGCGUCAUCUUCCACGGCUGGUGCUGCCGCUGGUUCUACUUUUGCCCCAGCGGCUUAAAGCACUCAGAGCGCACUUUGGACGCGAACUCGGUGGCUCUGGAUGAGUAUAUCUAGAAGGCGAGUGAGCGAAAGAUUCUGGAAGCUUCGAUUGAAGCUGCGAUAGUGCGAUCGAAGCUAUUAAAUCUCGUGAAACUAAUUCUCAUGUCGUUUCGAGCCAUUGAGGUGAGGAUUUGUUCCUACUUUGUAAAGGUUUCCAUGAACUGAACUAGGAUCUUUAUUUGUAUGAGGUUUUUGACAAUUGAGCUUUCACCGAUUCUAAAUAAGAACAGGGCAUUUGUUGUAAGAUACCUCCACCGAUAACAUCCUAAACAAUAAUAAUAAUAAUCAUCCUAAAAAAUCUGCCUCUAUAGUUCAUUAUUAUUAGUUAUCUAUCUAGUUGCAUUAACGCUAAUUACUAAUUAGGUAUAGGUAUAUCAUAGUUGCAGGUACUUAUGGUGGAGGUAAUUAAGUUAUAGUGUUAGGAGGACCUUGACUAGUGAGUUGUCGAUUACUACAACGUAAUGCAUUACGUGUUGAGUGGAAAAUAUAUUUGUGAUUCUAUCUGCUGAUUUAGUACUUUGUCAUUCUAACUGUUGAGUUAGUACUUUGUGAUUGUUGUUAGGCAUUCUUGGUGAUAGUUUGGAAUAAAAAACGAGUUGGUUACACAUAUGAGUUGACUUUAAAGGUCAAAGGGGAAUUGAAUUUGAGAGGAGAGAAGUCGGUUGGAGGCCAUAUAGAUGUCCCAGAAUUCUCGUUUGGCGAAUUGGAUGACUUGCAGUAGUCAUUUUUGUUCAAUUUGAAGCACUGAAAAUUAAAUUUACCAGAUGGGCCAUGCAACAAUCAAGAGGUAAUAACCUAUUAAGAGCUCUAAUUUUAUCCUUCUUGUUUACAUAACUCUGCACUGAUUUACAAUAUCAUAUAUCUUUAGUGCCCUAUUUCUUUGAUUCACUUUAAAAUUAGUAACUUUUAUUAUAUAUAUAGAUUUCUGUAGUUGAUCUUAUGGGACUUCUAUUACCAAAGAAAAAUCUCAAAUUCAAAUAUGAUUGUAUUUUGAUCUAUAUCAGCCUUCCUUAAAAGUCAAGUUAGUUCAUAUAAUUCAAUUUCUGAUGUUCUUAGCUUUUGCAGCAUAAAGUUUGUUCCUCAGAUCAACCAAGAUGGAAGCCAGCCAAGAGGCUUGGAUUUUGUUUGUUCCAGUUCAAUAUAACAACAGUUGACUUCUGAAUUUCGUAAUAAAUGUUGAGUUUCUACCUUAUUUCCUAUCCUCUUAUUCCUGUUUUAGUGUCUUCUUCUUUUGUUUAAUUUCAUUGAUCAUAUUAUCCUUUAAUUUCUCGACAGAUAAUAAUUAUAAUUGAAGUGGAUACUGAUUUUUCUUAUCAGUUUCUUGCUAUUGCUUUCAGACAAGCGCUUGUUGAGAUCUUUAUUUCAAGGUGAACUUGAGUUGCCAUUUCUAGCACUUCUCUUGGUCAUCCUUUCCCAUUAUGAGGUCAUGAGAUUUAGGAACACAAAAGAAGGUGCUAUCAUUUCAUUAUUAAUUGCAGUGUAUUUGACUUACCAGCAUUUCUCAAGAACAAGUUUACAGAAAUCACUUGAUCAAGGUUCAAUUGUUGCCACCAUAGCUGUUGUUUGUAUCACUAUUGCAUCUUUGUUGUUUCUGAUCUGAGUUGCUUUAGAAUGAUGUAGACUCAUAAUAUAUUGUACAUAAUAAUGCUUGACAGUGGCGAUCAUUGUGUAAUAUAUCAUAGCUGGAUUCUGUACUUUUUUCAUUAAUUAUUACAGAUUCAAAUAAAGAGGUUAGCUUUGUUU